AUGGAUAUGGAACACGAAAGACCAAAAAAAUUAGGUGUACUUGCUACUCAUGGAGAUGGGGAACCUCCUAAAACCCUCGAUGCUCGUUAUGUGAAAGAUAUUAUUUACUACUUUAAUAAUCCUGAGAAAACCCCAUUCAACUAUGUUAUGGGAAACACGUUGGAACAACGUGAAUACUUUAGGGAUUAUCACUUGACUCAAAAAGGGAAACUAUUAUGGGAUCAAAUUCAUAUGUUGCAUUGGUAUGCUAGGAAACUAUGCUUGAGAUAUGAUUAUACUCGUUACUCUAGGAUGAAGGCUCCACACCUUCCCUUUUCAUGCGAAUUUAAUGAUAAUGAAACCUUGGCUUCUUAUGCUAGAGGUAUAUAUGAUUACUCUGAUGUGGAACAAAUAGAAGAAUUUGUUGCUUUUAUGGGUGCUUAUGAAAUUGAAUCUAUGUUCAAAGAGUUUGAAAAUCUUUAUGAUGUUGUUUAUAGACCUGAAAAUUUAGCUAUCCUUAAAUAUUUCUAUGCCAACUAUGAAUUCAAUUCCGAUAUUCAUGCAUUUAUUGAGAAAGUCUCCGUUGUCCAAGAAGAGACUAAUAUUUUGCAGGAAUCUAUGGAAGAAGAAAUUGACGAAACUGUGAGCUCAUUGGAUGAAAAAUAUGAUGAGGAGAGCGAAGAACAAAAGGAGGAAUAG
rnacentral:rRNA from 1 species